UAUUUGCAUACUGCUAUUGAUUUAAGGCUGCAGCAACAACGGCCAGUGUAAAAUCAACAACAACUACUGAACAAUCAGUAGAACAAUAUGAAGAUGAGUUUGACGAAGCGGAGGAAGAGAAUGCUAAACAAGAUGUUCCAACAACUACAACUACUGAGCCUCCCAAGAAAUUCGGACGGGGGAGUGUCGUAAGGCCUUUCAGGUCAAACGAAGAUUUAUUAGCAGCAUUGAAGAGACGUAGAGCUCAAGGUAUUACUCCAAGUCAUCCUCGAGAAACUUCGACCACUCAAAGUUCUGCAGAGACGACGCAACCCAAGUCUAAAUCUCAGGCUAAUGCAGGUAGAUCGAAAACUACUAAUGCCAACGAAGUACCAAAAAGUACCAGUCGUGUAAGAUUCGGUGGGAAUCGUGGCAAAACUACGACAACUAAUCAAGAAGAAGCUCAGGAAACUCAGUCCGAGAAUGUUCAGGUCAAACCCAAAACAUAUAGAAGAGGUUAAUCGAACGUUCAUCAUUUAUAUUUUUGAUGCGAUACAAAUAUGCAUAUAUAGAGAGCCAUUUUCGAUGCUGUACUUUUCGAGUGCCCAUUAUAAGUAUUCUUAUAUUCGGCUGACAAAGAUUUCUUGCAUUAACAUUUAAUAAUGAAUUGUAUUAAUUGCAGACGAUCUUUCGCAAGAGACAAUUAUAUACAUAAUUCAGCCACUUUGUGAUUAUGUUUAUGAUCCUUUUAGCAGUUAUUGAAUAUUUAUAACACUUAAUUCGAUACUUUGUUGCAAUCACUGCGUUAAUAAAUAUAUGGAUUGAUGGAAGGUGGAAAGAUGAUUUGAAUGAGUAUAACAUUUAACGAUGUAAUUGCAUUUGUAUAGGAUUGAAUUUGAGAUUAAUGUAGAUCUAUAUGUUAGAUCAAAUUUAUACGCUCGAUUCUAAAAUAAUUUGACGACAAGCAAACAAUUUUCUAUGAUUGUUUUUAUCUAAUUAAAA